rnacentral:rRNA from 1 species
AGAGUUUGAUCAUGGCUCAGGAUGAACGCUGGCGGCGUGCCUAAUACAUGCAAGUCGAGCGAACCACUUCGGUGGUGAGCGGCGAACGGGUGAGUAACACGUAGGUGAUCUGCCCAUCAGACGGGGACAACGAUUGGAAACGAUCGCUAAUACCGGAUAGGACGAAAGUUUAAAGGUGCUUCUGGCACCGCUGAUGGAUGAGCCUGCGGCGCAUUAGCUAGUUGGUAGGGUAAAGGCCUACCAAGGCGACGAUGCGUAGCCGACCUGAGAGGGUGAACGGCCACACUGGGACUGAGACACGGCCCAGACUCCUACGGGAGGCAGCAGUAGGGAAUCUUCGGCAAUGGGCGAAAGCCUGACCGAGCAACGCCGCGUGAAUGAUGAAGGCCUUCGGGUUGUAAAAUUCUGUUAUAAGGGAAGAACGACUUUAGUAGGAAAUGGCUAGAGUGUGACGGUACCUUAUGAGAAAGCCACGGCUAACUACGUGCCAGCAGCCGCGGUAAUACGUAGGUGGCGAGCGUUAUCCGGAAUUAUUGGGCGUAAAGAGCGCGCAGGUGGUUGAUUAAGUCUGAUGUGAAAGCCCACGGCUUAACCGUGGAGGGUCAUUGGAAACUGGUCGACUUGAGUGCAGAAGAGGGAAGUGGAAUUCCAUGUGUAGCGGUGAAAUGCGUAGAGAUAUGGAGGAACACCAGUGGCGAAGGCGGCUUCCUGGUCUGUAACUGACACUGAGGCGCGAAAGCGUGGGGAGCAAACAGGAUUAGAUACCCUGGUAGUCCACGCCGUAAACGAUGAGUGCUAAGUGUUGGGGGUCGAACCUCAGUGCUGAAGUUAACGCAUUAAGCACUCCGCCUGGGGAGUACGGUCGCAAGACUGAAACUCAAAGGAAUUGACGG